GAUAAUUAUUAUUAAAAAUAAUAAUAUCCUCCUAACCUAACUUAAGCCAAAACGGCUAAUCACAGCUCAGAAAAUAUUCAAGUGCUUGAGUGUGUACGCCAAUACAGAUGCAUUCUCACAAUCCAACUUGAUUGGUAAGAGACAGGUGUAAGAUCAAUGGCUUUACGCGGCGUUCUUACGCACGGGAGUGUAACUCCUAAUUUCGACCUGCUUUUAAGAAUUAUUGAGACACAGCGAACAAAAAUACGCACAUUUGUGGCAAGUCUUCUUAAUUUAUAAUAUAUAUUGUACUAAAGUAACGUUUUUAUUUAACACUUUGUAGCUAAUCUAAAUGAGUAAAAUAUAUGAGUCAGAAUCCGACGUCUGAUUAAGCUUGGAGAACUGAUUAAACUAAAAAACUAUGUACAUUAAGAAAUUUUAUUAGUCUGAUAAAGUAAUGCGUAACAGAUAUCGUCUCGCAAAGUUUACGCAUAUAUUUGCUUUGAUAAAUAAACUUAUUUCAUUAUAUUUAUUUUAAUGUAUCUCGUAUCGGUCAGUCGAGUGUCAUUAUUAACUAAAGGUGGUUGAUAUCGCUUGCUAGUCAUAAAGUGCGCAAGCAAAAUGAAUUUAUACUUAUUAAACGUUCUUAUCGUGUUGUUAGUUUUUAUGAAUGUUGGAUUUAAAGACGUUGAUACAGCAGAAAUAAAAAAGUAUCCAUGCCGUUAUGAUUGCACGAAAUAUUGUCAAAUCAACGGAAAAGUCACUGGUUACUGCUGGCACGGAUUAUGUCACUGUCGAGAAAAAUAUCUUCCUCGUACUUAAUAUUAUAUUGUUUUUUUAUAUUUUAAAUAUAUAACAUUUUUUUUCAUUAAUCAUUUCUUAAUAUCAUGUAUAAAUAGGUAUAUAAAUUAUAAAUACAAAUAAAAAUUAAUUAUUAUCAUAAUUUUGUUCUUUGCAUACAUGUGAUGUUGACCGGCAUUUUAAACGGACAAUUUAGUAUGGAUUAUAACUUUUGUGUUGAGGAGUAAUGUUAAUGCAUAUAAAUACAUGUUAAAAUAAUUUGGAAGAUGUUAUUGUAUUAAUAUUAGUGUAAUUGUUUAGGUAUAAUACUAACUGUAUUAUUAUAUAACGUUAACUUUUGUAUAUAAUUAAUAUUUUCAUGAUAUAUAUCAAUUCUAUGUAUAUCUUCUAUCUGUACUUAUAAUAAAAAUGUAACAGGCCGAUGUCUGUACUAUAAAUAUAACAUAAGUAUUAUAAAUAUUGAAAAAAACUUUUUUUGUCUGUCUGUACCCGCUGUCUGUCUGUUUAUACCCGCAUCACGCAAAAAUAACUGCACGGAAUUGAAUGAAGUUUUCACCGAUGUACUGCUAGAGGUCUAACUUAAAAUAUAGGCUGCAUUUAAUUCUCAACUGUCUCUGCAGAAAUAAAAAUAUAGAUACUUGAUUAUAUAUUCUUCGCGAACGAUGUCACGGGCAAAUCUAGUUUAUAAUAUAAUUAUUUACUGUAAGAUGUUACAUAUAUAUAUUUGUAGGAGUUUGGUUAUAUUUCUUCUUGCGUAAAGAAAAUCAUCAUUAUCAAACAUAGUGCUCGACGGCAGGUAUCCUACAAAUAUCAGAAACUAUGUUUCACACACUACAACAUAAUCAUGACAAUAUCGUAGUAUGUGUGGCUUGGCGAGUCCUCGAUAUAAAAAUUGGCAGCAAGACGCCGAUAACGCCAUUGCCAUGUUUGUAUUCGUCGUCAGAAUCAAUUCCAGACUAAGGUCUUGUGCAUAUUUAUUUUAAUAGCGUGUCAUAUUACUUCUAAAACUGAAAUAAUAAAGAAUUGAACGAAAAUGUAUACGUAAUAUAAAUAGUACGUAUAAAUUAACUUACUUAAUGUAAGUAAUAAUAUGAUAAAAUAAUACAAUAUUGCAAAUUUUACGCAUAUUUAUUUCGGUCUAUUUAUUAUAAUGUACUCGCAUCGGUCAGUCGAGUAACAUUAUUGAAUAAAGGUAGUUGAUAUCGUUUAAACAAACAAAAUGAAUUUAUACUUUUUUAGCUUUCUUAUCGUGCUGCUAGUUUUUAUGAAUAUUGGAUUUAAAGACGUUGAAGCAGCAGAACGUAAACCGUGUCACUACCGUUUUGCUUUGGACUGCUCAAAAUUUUGCCAAAUCAAGGGAGAAGUCACAAGUAACUGCUGGCCUGGAAUAUGUCACUGUCGAGCAAAAUGAAGCCCUCAUUCUUGAAAUUAUAUUCUUUUAUAUACAUAUUUUUUAUUGUAUAAUUUGUUUCUUGCUAACUUUAAAAGAUCAUUUUUCAAUAUAUAUUAAUAAUACAUGCAAAUAAAGAUUUACUUUAAGUAUUUUUUUGCUUGUAUAGCUAGUAUCUGUUAGCCGGAAUUUUAACCGUACAAAAAGCCAUAGCAAGUAUAAAAUUUUUGUUUAAGAAGAAUUGAUGUUUUAAUGGGUGAAAUGGUCAAUCCAAAU